AGAGAGAGACAUGCGCGCAUAUCAAUAAGCGGAGGAAAAGAAACUAACAAGGAUUCCCCUAGUAACGGCGAGUGAAGCGGGAAGAGCUCAAAUUUGAAAUCUUAAAGGGUUUCCCUUUACGAAUUGUAGUUUAAAGAAGUGUUUUCUGUUGAGGUUUUGGUAAAAGUUCUUUGGAAUAGGACAUCAUAGAGGGUGAGAAUCCCGUAUUUGACCUUUACUUUCAACUUUGUGAUACACUUUCAAAGAGUCGGAUUGUUUGGGAAUGCAGUCCAAAAUGGGUGGUAAAUUUCAUCUAAAGCUAAAUAUUGGCGAUGAGACCGAUAGCGAACAAGUACCGUGAGGGAAAGAUGAAAAGAACUUUGAAAAGAGAGUUAAACAGUACGUGAAAUUGUCAAAAGGGAAGCGUUUGACACCAGUGUUGUUUUUCUGAAAAUCAAUUAAAGAACUGUUUAUGCUAAGUUGUUUAGACUUUAUCAGCUAUCUGUUUAGUUUUGAGCUUUUCUUUAAUGCACUUUUCAGUUAACAAGUCAACAGUCAAUUUCUUUUGCUGUAAAAAAGCUUGAGGAAGGUGGCUUGAGAUUCGUCUUAAGUGUUUAUAGCCUCUUGCCUAUGCAGUCGGAGAGAUUGAGGUCUGCAGCGUAGAUCCUUCGGGGCUAAAUGCAUUUGUGCUAAGUUAUAGCAUUUUAUAGACAACUUGUUGACUAUGAUUUGUCUUGUAGCUUACUCGCUUAUGUUAUUUUACCUACGCUUAGGAUGUUGAGCGCAUGUCUCUCUCU
rnacentral:rRNA from 1 species